AAUUUUUAUAACAACUUUAAUCAUGCUUUAAAUUCGACUUAAAAUAAUUAAAAUAAAGUAAUUUAAAUAUUA
rnacentral:tRNA from 1 species